rnacentral:rRNA from 1 species
AGAGAGAGACAUGCGCGCAUAUCAAUAAGCGGAGGAAAAGAAACUAACAAGGAUUCCCUUAGUAACGGCGAGUGAAGCGGGAAGAGCUCAAAUUUGAAAUCUUCAAGGUUCUACCUUGACGAAUUGUAGUUUAUAGAAGUGUUUUCUGUUAGUGGAGUGGCAAAAGUUCUUUGGAAUAGGACAUCAUAGAGGGUGAGAAUCCCGUAUUUGGUCAUUCCUCCUAGCGUUGUGAUACACUUUCAACGAGUCGGAUUGUUUGGGAAUGCAGUCCAAAAUGGGUGGUAAAUUUCAUCUAAAGCUAAAUAUUGGCGAGAGACCGAUAGCGAACAAGUACCGUGAGGGAAAGAUGAAAAGAACUUUGAAAAGGAGAGUUAAACAGUACGUGAAAUUGUCAAAAGGGAAGCGUUUGACACCAGUGUUGUUUUUCCGAAAAUCAAUUACGAAUGUUUUAUUUUUGAGGAGUUAUGACUUCAUCGGCUUGCUCCUUUCUUUAUGAAACUUUCUUAAUGCACUUUUCGGUUAACAAGUCAACAUCAAUUUCUUUUGUUGUAAAAGGGUAUGAGGAAGGUGGCUUUCUUUUCGGAGAAAGUGUUUAUAGCCUUGUGCCUCUGCAAUCGGAGAGAUUGAGGUCUGCAGCGUAGAUCCUUCGGGGUUAGAUACGUUUGUGCUAAGUUAUAGCUUUUCAUAGACAACUUGUUGACUAUGUUUAGUCUUGUAGCUUACUCGCUGACGCUAUUUUACCUACGCUUAGGAUGUUGAUAGUCACAGCGUGUAC